AGAGAGAGACAUGCGCGCAUAUCAAUAAGCGGAGGAAAAGAAACUAACAAGGAUUCCCUUAGUGACGGCGAGUGAAGCGGGAAGAGCUCAAAUUUGAAAUCUUCAAGGUUCUACCUUGACGAAUUGUAGUUUAUAGAAGUGUUUUCUGUUAGUGGAGUGGCAAAAGUUCUUUGGAAUAGGACAUCAUAGAGGGUGAGAAUCCCGUAUUUGGUCAUUCCUCCUAGCGUUGUGAUACACUUUCAACGAGUCGGAUUGUUUGGGAAUGCAGUCCAAAAUGGGUGGUAAAUUUCAUCUAAAGCUAAAUAUUGGCGAGAGACCGAUAGCGAACAAGUACCGUGAGGGAAAGAUGAAAAGAACUUUGAAAAGAGAGUUAAACAGUACGUGAAAUUGUCAAAAGGGAAGCGUUUGACACCAGUGUUGUUUUUCCGAAAAUCAAUUACGAAUGUUUUAUUUUUGAGGAGUUAUGACUUCAUCGGCUUGCUCCUUUCUUUAUGAAACUUUCUUAAUGCACUUUUCGGUUAACAAGUCAACAUCAAUUUCUUUUGUUGUAAAAGGGUAUGAGGAAGGUGGCUUUCCUUUCGGAGAAAGUGUUUAUAGCCUUGUGCCUCUGCAAUCGGAGAGAUUGAGGUCUGCAGCGUAGAUCCUUCGGGGUUAGAUACGUUUGUGCUAAGUUAUAGCUUUUCAUAGACAACUUGUUGACUAUGUUUAGUCUUGUAGCUUACUCGCUGACGCUAUUUUACCUACGCUUAGGAUGUUGAUAGUCACAGCGUGUAC
rnacentral:rRNA from 1 species